GAUGUAUUUGCCGUUUCUUAAACACAGUAGUUAGAGAUCAAGCAGACCCAAAUCCUCAUAAUCACUAUGGCCACAAAUGGAUGGCGACUGCGUAGCUGAGCAAAGCAAGGUGCACAUGCCACUUAUAUACUGGGAGGAGUGUGACUGAACCCAGCAAAGAUGUCAGCCCUCAAGGUGAAAGGCAUAGCACACUUAUGUUUCACAGAAAAUGGAUCAACAUUUUGUGGACUCCUUGUGACCGAAUCACGAGAGCAAUAUUCAGUUAGAGGACGCUGUCACAUCUCGCACAAUCAUGUGGACACCCACGAGUGUUGUUUUGACGAACAUGCAUCUCUUAUGGAAUUGACUGUCACAGAUCAUGGGGACUUUGACAACCAAUACAUCAUAUCUGACGUCAUGAAGUCAGGGGGAGACAACUGUUCUCUAACAUCAAAUCAUAUUGAGUUCCAUACAGAUCAACUCCUAGUAGACGCCAAAGCUGAUAAAUGUAUAGAGAAGUUCUUUUCAAAGUCACUGACUGGGAAGAAUUGCGUUGUGUGUGUUGGUGAAAUGAACAUCAAUUACCGCAAACCUGAUACAGACACUGAAGUUGACAAGUGAAAUCAAUAACAUGUGACAAGAGUCAAUGAUGUUACAUUUUUGUUGGCAUACAUGGACAAGAGCACGUGUUUUGUUUGUUUCAGUUUUUCUUCACACCAUGUAGUGAACUCAAACAUGGAAAAUGUAAAGUUUAUAUAAUUUGUGAAAUGAAAGCGAUUAUUUUCUUUGAAUUAAAUAAGAUCGUUUCA